AUGAUCCAGCUGAGACCAGCUACCAGCAGCCUUCACAGGGUCUCCAGCCACUCGGGGCCUCACGGUAGCAGCGGAAAAGGUUCUGGGGUGGCUCCGAGGUGUCCAGAGAGAUCAGAACCGGGGUGGCUCCGAGGUGUCCAGAGAGAUCAGAACCGGGGUGGCUCAGAGGUGUCCAGAGAGAUCAGAACCGGGGUGGCUCCGAGGUGUCCAGAGAGAUCAGAACCGGGUGGCUCCGAGGUGUCCACAGAGAUCAGAAGUGGCUCCGAGGUGUCCAGAGAGAUCAGAACCGGGGUGGCUCCGAGGUGUCCACAGAGAUCAGAACCGGGGUGGCUCCGAGGUGUCCAGAGAGAUCAGAACCGGGGUGGCUCUGAGGUGUCCACAGAGAUCAGAAGUGGCUCCGAGGUGUCCAGAGAGAUCAGAACCGGGGUGGCUCCGAGGUGUCCAGAGAGAUCAGAACCGGGGUGGCUCCGAGGUGUCCACAGAGAUCAGAACCGGGGUGGCUCCGAGGUGUCCACAGAGAUCAGAAGUGGCUCCGAGGUGUCCACAGAGAUCAGAACCGGGGGCUCAGAGGUCCACAGAGAUCAGAAACCGGGGUGGCUCAGAGGUGUCCACAGAGAUCAGAACCGGGGUGGCUCCGAGGUGUCCAGAGAGAUCAGAACCGGGGUGGCUCCGAGGUGUCCACAGAGAUCAGAACCGGGGUGGCUCAGAGGUGUCCAGAGAGAUCAGAACCGGGGUGGCUCCGAGGUGUCCAGAGAGAUCAGAACCGGGGUGGCUCCGAGGUGUCCAGAGAGAUCAGAACCGGGGUGGCUCAGAGGUGUCCAGAGAGAUCAGAACCGGGGUGGCUCCGAGGUGUCCAGAGAGAUCAGAACCGGGGUGGCUCAGAGGUGUCCAGAGAGAUCAGAACCGGGGUGGCUCAGAGGUGUCCAGAGAGAUCAGAACCGGGGUGGCUCCGAGGUGUCCAGAGAGAUCAGAACCGGGGUGGCUCCGAGGUGUCCACAGAGAUCAGAACCGGGGUGGCUCCGAGGUGUCCACAGAGAUCAGAACCGGGGUGGCUCCGAGGUGUCCAGAGAGAUCAGAACCGGGGUGGCUCCGAGGUGUCCACAGAGAUCAGAACCGGGGUGGCUCAGAGGUGUCCACAGAGAUCAGAACCGGGGUGGCUCAGAGGUGUCCACAGAGAUCAGAACCGGGGUGGCUCCGAGGUGUCCAGAGAGAUCAGAACCGGGGUGGCUCCGAGGUGUCCACAGAGAUCAGAACCGGGGUGGCUCAGAGGUGUCCACAGAGAUCAGAACCGGGGUGGCUCCGAGGUGUCCAGAGAGAUCAGAACCGGGGUGGCUCCGAGGUGUCCACAGAGAUCAGAAGUGGCUCCGAGGUGUCCAGAGAGAUCAGAACCGGGGUGGCUCCGAGGUGUCCACAGAGAUCAGAACCGGGGUGGCUCCGAGGUGUCCACAGAGAUCAGAAGUGGCUCCGAGGUGUCCACAGAGAUCAGAACCGGGGUGGCUCCGAGGUGUCCACAGAGAUCAGAACCGGGGUGGCUCAGAGGUGUCCACAGAGAUCAGAAGUGGCUCCGAGGUGUCCACAGAGAUCAGAACCGGGGUGGCUCCGAGGUGUCCACAGAGAACAGAACCGGGGUGGGGCCGUUUUUACGGGAUGACAGGUCACGUGUUCCUGGUCCAAGCCUAUCAAACCAUUUAG
ensembl:lncRNA